CCUACGGGGGGCAGCAGUGAGGAAUAUUGGUCAAUGGCCGGAAGGCUGAACCAGCCAAGCCGCGUGAAGGACGAAGGUGCCAAGCAUUGUAAACUUCUUUUGUCAAGGGACAAAAUCAGGCUCGAGAGCCUGACCGAGGGUACUUGAAGAAAAAGCAUCGGCUAACUCCGUGCCAGCAGCCGCGGUAAUACGGAGGAUGCGAGCGUUAUCCGGAUUUAUUGGGUUUAAAGGGUGCGCAGGCGGAUUUUUAAGUCAGCGGUCAAAUCGUGGGGCUCAACCCCAUCCAGCCGUUGAAACUGGGGAUC
rnacentral:rRNA from 1 species